CUUUUACGUUCCCCCUCCUUUGUACACACCGCCCGUCGCUACUACCGAUUGAAUGGCUCAGUGAGGCGUCCGGACUGGCCCAGAGAGGCGGGCAACUGCCACUCAGGGCCGGAAAGCUCUCCAAACUCGGUCAUUUAGAGGAAGUAAAAGUCGUAACAAGGUCUCCGUUGGUGAACCAGCGGAGGGAUCAUUA
rnacentral:rRNA from 1 species